rnacentral:sRNA from 1 species
GCUGGGUGUGGUGGCGCAUACCUAUAAUCCCAGCAGCUCCAGAGGCUGAGGCAGGAGCAAAAGUGAGGCACUAAGCAACUCAGUGAGACCCUGUCUCUA